rnacentral:rRNA from 1 species
AGCAAUACGUCAGCGGCAGACGGGUGAGUAACGCGUGGGAACGUACCUUUUGGUUCGGAACAACACAGGGAAACUUGUGCUAAUACCGGAUAAGCCCUUACGGGGAAAGAUUUAUCGCCGAAAGAUCGGCCCGCGUCUGAUUAGCUAGUUGGUGAGGUAAUGGCUCACCAAGGCGACGAUCAGUAGCUGGUCUGAGAGGAUGAUCAGCCACAUUGGGACUGAGACACGGCCCAAACUCCUACGGGAGGCAGCAGUGGGGAAUAUUGGACAAUGGGGGCAACCCUGAUCCAGCCAUGCCGCGUGAGUGAUGAAGGCCCUAGGGUUGUAAAGCUCUUUUGUGCGGGAAGAUAAUGACGGUACCGCAAGAAUAAGCCCCGGCUAACUUCGUGCCAGCAGCCGCGGUAAUACGAAGGGGGCUAGCGUUGCUCGGAAUCACUGGGCGUAAAGGGUGCGUAGGCGGGUCUUUAAGUCAGGGGUGAAAUCCUGGAGCUCAACUCCAGAACUGCCUUUGAUACUGAAGAUCUUGAGUCCGGGAGAGGUGAGUGGAACUGCGAGUG